rnacentral:lncRNA from 1 species
AUGAAAAUCACCCAAUCUGGAAAGCACUCGCAGUUCAUGGUCGGACAAAAGCCGGCUGAACGUCAUUGCUUAGGGGACACCUGGCUCUGGGCCACCGCUGUGGUGAUGCUGUUUCUCGGCCUGUGGUUGGUUCCUGGCUGUGGGAGGCAGUUUUCCACUGGUCUGCUCGCUGUGCAAUUUCAGGUCACUGAGCUUCCCCCGCUGGGAUUAAAACCACUUGGAGUUCACACCCUGUUGUUUUUGCAAAAUCCCUCAGGUUUAGGAGCGACUGAGAAGAUUCUGUCUUAGUGAAAGUUUAUCAAAGAGCUGAAUUAUCUGUGUCAAAAGAUAAAUUUCGCCAGGGGAGAGGUAGCCAGGGGAAAAUGGCAAAUGACCCCAAGGAGGACGCAGGCUCCAUAACAGGUCAGUGAAGACCACACAACAACCACAUCUGACGUUGACGCCGGCUUUAUUUGAUGUGCUCACAGAAGCUUUGCAGGCACAAGCCUCAAUCCAGCAGGCCAAGCGGAUGCCAGCGGCACAGCCACUGUGGCACCCACUGUGGCACGGGCGGCGGCCCAGUCCGUGUGCUGGGGCUGCCCACAUGCGUCUGCUUUGCAGAGAUGUGCUAACAGAGCCGGGCCAGUUCCCUUUGGCCCGCGGACAUGGCUGAGACUAGAAAUACGGGCUCGACAUUGCAAAAUUUGUUCACUUCCCCAUGAGCAAAUGGGAUUUCAGGCAAUCUUUACUUUCUCUCUUCCUUUCUGUCUUGUUUGAAUGUGUGUCAUUUUUAUAAUCGGAUGAAAAACAAAGUUACAUUUUGGAGAGAAUUUGGAAGGGCUUAUCUAAACAGAUGUGUGAGAGAUUCUGGUCAUGCUGACAACUCACCUAAGAGACCGAGCCUAGAAGAGAAGAGAAGCCGCCGGUGCUGAGCUGCAGAAGCUGGGGUCUGGAGCGGCCGACUGCGUGGACAGCCCGGAGAGCCCAGCAUAACUGGAUCUGGCUGGGAGUGAAAGUAAAAUGUAAAAUAGCAAAAAGCAGAAGCUUCUUGAGGAGAUUGUCUGGAAGGGCUGUGGCAGGCCCCGCCCGGGUGAGCAGGAGCCACCUCAGUGGGGGGGUCCCCUGAGGGAGACCUGUGUCCACCGUGUGUGCAGCACGUCAGCGGCCAGCAGCCUUGCCUCGAGGGAACCUGGUGAGUACAGGGAGAUGCGCAGAAAAGCAUUUGGGAAACUAAAAUCCGUGGCACAGCCCUUAGCCCCAAAGCUUUUGCAUGAAUUCUGAGCCUCUUCUCUUCAGUUUUCUUCUGGAG